GCUCAUUUAAAGUAAAUGAAUGGGAGAGAGUUGAGUUGACAGAGGAGUUUUAACUGGAAGUAUUCUUGAAAGAUUUUGAGUUAAAGACUUGUAAAGAUGAACUUUUUAAUUCCGUUUAGCACAGUGUUAUUAUUAGUAGCUACAUCAACGGAUGUGUCAGCUACUAUCAGAUACGUCAACGCGCGAGCAGUUACUUCUACAGAUCACUAUCUGGAUGUUGUACCAAUAGAAGAAAAACUGACCUCUUCUGUAAUGUGUGUAAAUCUAUGUGCUACUGAUGCUAGAUGUUUAUCUAUUAAUUACCAUAAAAAUAAAACAUGUCAACUAUUGGGCACCUUCUACUGUAAAAAUGAUGCAUAUGUACUCAAACCAGAGUCCGGAUUUAAAUAUAUGGAUGUAGAUUUUAAUCGUCAGCCUGAUGAGAUGAAUCUGUACCAGAAUUCAGUUGCUUGUGUUUCACAGAACCGGUGUUCUCCUAAAUGCGGAGAUGAAUGUGUACGUGGAAGUGCAUACACAAACGUGGUUAACGGUUACAUAGACGGAACAGUAGCAACCCUCGAUGAGACAACGGGCGUAACAAUGGGCCAAUGUCAAAAUACAUGUAUUUCUCAUAACACUGGUCGAUGCAUAGCUAUUCAAUAUUUUACCGCAAUUCAGCACUGCACUUAUCUUUCAAUGACAAAAGACAUGGUACAUCCUGAACUGUUCAAGUAUUCCUUCGAUUUGGAAUAUAGGGAAAGGAUUUGCGUCUGACUGGUUACAAGAGUUUAUCACCAGCCUUGUCUAAAAGAAUGCAGAACUUUUAAUAUUCUUUAACAAAGUUACAGGCCGUAUGCAUUGGUUUAUCAUUACAUUAUUAUUUGCAAUUUCAAAUAUUUUUUUUAGAACAAUCAUGGGAACUUUAUUUUAAAGACGAAAGGGAGUUAAGUUCUUGGAAAUAAAAUAUCAAACCCGGAAUUAUCAAUUUCGUAGAUAUUGUACGUACCAUGUCUUGAUUUGCAGCAACGUAUUAAAACCAUGACCAUAGCAUAGUGGUGGGCAAUAAAAUGAAUGUCGAAUCGGGAGACUAAAGGGAGAUUAUUCCGUUAUCCAUGAGAGCAAUUUCAUUUUAUUUUAAAGUUUCUAUUCAAAUAAUGCAGUAUGUAUAAUUUUAUUAAAUAAAUAUUGAUAUUAGA